rnacentral:rRNA from 1 species
UACGUAGGAUGCAAGCGUUGUCCGGAAUUAUUGGGCGUAAAGAGCGAGCAGGCGGUUUGGAAAGUUGGACGUGAAAUUUUAGGGCUUAACCCUAAAGGGUCGUCCAAAACUCCCAGACUAGAGUGCAGGAGAGGAAAGCGGAAUUCCCGGUGUAGUGGUGAAAUGCGUAGAUAUCGGGAGGAACACCAGAGGCGAAGGCGGCUUUUCUGGCCUGUAACUGACGCUGAGGCGCGAAGGCUGGGUAGCGAACGAG